rnacentral:rRNA from 1 species
AUUGAACGCUGGCGGCAGGCUUAACACAUGCAAGUCGAGCGGGGUGAUGGUGCUUGCACUAUCACUUAGCGGCGGACGGGUGAGUAAUGCUUAGGAAUCUGCCUAUUAGUGGGGGACAACAUCUCGAAAGGGAUGCUAAUACCGCAUACGUCCUACGGGAGAAAGCAGGGGAUCACUUGUGACCUUGCGCUAAUAGAUGAGCCUAAGUCGGAUUAGCUAGUUGGUGGGGUAAAGGCCUACCAAGGCGACGAUCUGUAGCGGGUCUGAGGGGAUGAGCCGCCACACUGGGACUGGGACACGGCCCAGACUCCUACGGGAGGCAGCAGUGGGGAAUAUUGGACAAUGGGGGGAACCCUGAUCCAGCCAUGCCGCGUGUGUGAAGAAGGCCUUAUGGUUGUAAAGCACUUUAAGCGAGGAGGAGGCUCUUUUGGUUAAUACCCAAGAUGAGUGGACGUUACUCGCAAAAUAAGCACCGGCUAACUCUGUGCCAGCCGCCGCGGUAA